UACAGAGGGGGCUAGCGUUGUUCGGAAUUACUGGGCGUAAAGCGUGCGUAGGCUGCCUUUCAAGUCAGGUGUGAAAUCCCAGAGCUUAACUCUGGAAUUGCACUUGAAACUGGAAGGCUUGAGAUCGAGAGAGGAUAGUAGAAUUCCUAGUGUAGGAGUGAAAUCCGUAGAUAUUAGGAGGAAUACCAGUGGCGAAGGCGGCUAUCUGGCUCGAUUCUGACGCUGAGGCACGAAAGCGUGGGGAGCAAACAGG
rnacentral:misc_RNA from 1 species